rnacentral:rRNA from 1 species
AGUGAACGCUGGCGGUAGGCCUAACACAUGCAAGUCGAACGGCAGCACAGUAAGAGCUUGCUCUUACGGGAGGCGAGUGGCGGACGGGUGAGGAAUACAUCGGAAUCUACUUUUUCGUGGGGGAUAACGUAGGGAAACUUACGCUAAUACCGCAUACGACCUACGGGUGAAAGCAGGGGAUCUUCGGACCUUGCGCGAUUGAAUGAGCCGAUGUCGGAUUAGCUAGUUGGCGGGGUAAAGGCCCACCAAGGUGACGAUCCGUAGCUGGUCUGAGAGGAUGAUCAGCCACACUGGAACUGAGACACGGUCCAGACUCCUACGGGAGGCAGCAGUGGGGAAUAUUGGACAAUGGGCGCAAGCCUGAUCCAGCCAUACCGCGUGGGUGAAGAAGGCCUUCGGGUUGUAAAGCCCUUUUGUUGGGAAAGAAAAGCAGCAGGUUAAUACCCCGCUGUUCUGACGGUACCCAAAGAAUAAGCACCGGCUAACUUCGUG